UGGGGGAUAUUGCACAAUGGGCGAAAGCCUGAUGCAGCGACGCCGCGUGGGGGAUGAAGGCUUUCGGGUUGUAAACCUCUUUCGCUAUCGAACAAGGCCCGCUUAGGGUGGGUUGAGGGUAGGUGGAGAAGAAGCGCCGGCUAACUACGUGCCAGCAGCCGCGGUAAUACGUAGGGCGCGAGCGUUGUCCGGAAUUAUUGGGCGUAAAGGGCUUGUAGGUGGCUUGUUGCGCCUGCUGUGAAAACGCGGGGCUUAACUUCGCGCGUGCAGUGGGUACGGGCAGGCUUGAGUGUGGUAGGGGUGACUGGAAUUCCAGGUGUAGCGGUGGAAUGCGCAGAUAUCUGGAGGGACACCGAUGGCGAAGGCAGGUCACUGGGCCAUUACUGACGCUGAGGAGCGAAAGCAUGGGUAGCGAACAGG
rnacentral:rRNA from 1 species